rnacentral:lncRNA from 1 species
CUUCAAUCUAUUCUCUUUUAAAUAUCAUCAAGUAUAUGACAUUCAGAUUAUGCUAACUUUACUAACUCUAAGUUCUUACAAAGAUGAUUAAUUUCUUCUGCAUGAAAAUUUUAGCCUCUAAACAUCGACUAAACCCAUUUGGACAUAUAUUUCCAAUGAUGACUAAAUGCACUGAUAUAUUUUAUCUAAACAGAAAUUCAAAAUAACUUCUAUAUCCCAUAGCCCUUACCAUCAGUCUUAGUAAAAACAGAUCAAUAGAAAACAGUAUAGCAGAACAGCAAACAUAAAUACUGAAACCUUAUUUGUAGAUCUUUGCUAUAAAUGUAACACCCACCACACACAGGGAGAGAUACUGGAAAUAGCUUUCUUCUGUAAUAAGUACACUGCUCCUUGGGAGAAAGGUAAACUGCAUUAUGAGAUUAAGAUCAACACAAUGAAGUUACUUUCUAAGGGUCUCAUACACCCAAGUUUAUGUUGAGGAGGAAAAUGUCCUUUUGGUAAUUGAACUAAAAAUCUAAUGGACAUGAUGGAUGCUUGAUUGUGUCCAAAUGGCAUGAAAGCAUCCUAGGAAUUCCAUACAGAAUUCAGUUAACUAUUUUAUGAAAGUGGGAGAAAAAAUCGAAAUAAAAAUUGAAUUUCAAAAAAUUGAAAUUGAAAUGUGAAGUGAAUUGAUCAGCUACUGUUUUAGUCUGUUUUGCAUUGCUAUAAAGGAAUCCCUGAGACUGAGUAAUUUAUAAAGAAAAGAGGUUUAUUUGGCUGACAGUUCUGCAGACCAUACAAGCAUGGCACCAGCAUCUGCUUGGCUUCUGAUGAGGCUUAAGUAACUUACAAUCAUGGUGGAAGGCAAAGGGGGAGCCAGCAUAUCACAUGACGAGAGAGGAAGCAAAAGGGAGAUGACAGGCUGUUUAAAGAACCAGCUCUCCCGUGAACAAACAGAGCGAGAACUCACUUAUUACUGCGGGGACAGCACCAAGCCAUUCAUGAGGGAUCCUCCCCCAUGAACCAAACACCUCCCACAAGGACUGCCUCCAACAUUGGUCACAUUUCAAUGUGAGAUUUGGAGGGGACAAAUAUCCAAACCAUAUCAGCUGUUUUGGAAACAUGUAGCUCAGAACAUUAUGGUGAUUGGAUUUUAACAUUUCGGCUCAAAUAUAAAACAUGGGCUAAUAUGAAAUCCAGGCAUAUCACCAUAUAAACAGAAGUCUCAUCUUGAUUUCAAAGAUUUUUUUCCUGCAUUAGUAGCCCAUUAUUGUUCUGUAUGUGUCUCAACCGUUUGUCUUAAUGUGUCAAAUUUACAACGUUGCUAAGAAUAUGAGUCACAUCCUUAAAUACCACAUAUUCAUGAAAAAAUCCUCGGAAAGUGAGUCAUUCAAUGAACUAUUGGGGGAAAUUUUUAAACUUAAUAAAGAAUACCUUUUUAACAGGAUAACUUGUUUCUCUUCUGACUGCCAUGAUUCUGUCUCACAGACUUCCACAGAAAAUAUCAAAGAUUUUAGCUGAAUAAAUAAACAAAAGACCAGGCAGAUAAACUGACUUCUCAGGCCCAAGGUAGUGACCUGUGUGACAAUUUGGUCUUGGAGGCCUGAUGUGAAAACCUCUUGCAGCCUCUGGGUAACGAUGAUUUGAUUCCUAUCUCCCCCAUAGCCAUUCUCAGCCUCUCACCUUGUGGGCUUUCCCUAUGCACUGCACAUAAUCGGCAAAUCAGUGGGGUUUUCCAUUUCUGUCUCUUCUUCAUAAUUUGUUUUUCCCCUUUACUAAUCUAUUCAGUUCUCCAGCCCACUCACGUGAUUUUGCAUGAUAAAGUUACAACAGGAAGACUAUUAAAAUAGCAGCAAAUACUUUCUUUAAGCCAGGUGUAUGUCAUCUUUUGACACAUAUUGUCUCUCUUGAUUAUCACAACAACCAUCCCAGGUAACUAUUAUUAUUAUAUUAUUAAUCCCAUUUUACAUGUAUAAAUGUUACACCAAAGAAACAUAACUUGCAGGAUAAUCAAAGAAGGAUUUUAUUUUGAUCUUUCAUGUGUAUUAUAUGGGGCUUGUUUUUCCCCUAUGCUUGGAUGCAAUUUUUGACAAGUCCUCUGGUUUUUCUGCUUACAGGCAAAUAAUGAAAUCAGUUUCUGUUCAGUGAUUAAAAAGAUCAUCUCCACAUAGUGGUACCAUCCUCAAAUUUAAUAAGUAAGGGCUUCUUGCCAUUGUCCAGCCCAGGCCUGUGUAGUAAGAGGGCUGGUUACUCUCCCCUCCCCUGCCUUAUACAUUACCUCCUCUUCUCCAUCCCACCGAGCUUGGUUUCGGACCCUCCAGAAUGGGAGAGAGGGAGAAGUUUGGGCAGAAGGGAGAAGAGCAAAACGUCUUAUUAGAUUAAUAUUGUUGGGAAAUUGCAUUGGUUCUUGAACUUGGCAGAUAUUUUAUGUGACUCUUUUGUGGGUCAUUUCUAGUGCCUCCUCUUACAUUGUUAAGGAUUCGUCUUCAGCAAUUACUUUAAUUUAUGCAAAUACAACUCUUCCUGUAGGUCACAUGGUCACAGUGUCCCUAACGGUCUAGAUCAGUGGCCUUGCCUGUGUACACAGCCCUGUAGAAUCUCAGGCCUACCGUCAUCAUAAUAUUUAUUACACAACAUUUGAAUUUACACAACAUUUGAACAUUUGAAAAUGUUCUUUGUUCAUUAGAAAGCUCUCUCCAACACAAUCUAAGAUAAUCUCAGCCCAGCUCUUUCAUGCAUGCAGCCACAUCUGGGACAAGGAGUAGAAUUCACAGGACCCAAGGCACAAUCCAAAAAUUAUCUUCAGCCUUUUUUUUUUUUUCAGUGUCAGAGCUAGAUGGUCAGAAAAGUGCUGCAAAACUGGUUUUCCCACGUUUUUUGCUUUGGUAUGUGCCAUUUAUUGACUGGAAACACCACUAAAAUUGUUCUUCGUUAACAUUCUAUUAUUGUUGAAAACAUCAUGCAAAAGGUAAUAAAGAUUAAGUAGUUUUAAAAGUGACAAUACAUUUUCUAGCUUUUGUCUGAUCAAAGAGAACUGUCGUUUUGAAAGAGGAUUCACUGC